GUUAAUGUAGCUUAUAAUUAAAGCAAGGCACUGAAAAUGCCUAGAUGAGUAAUUUACUCCAUAAACA
rnacentral:tRNA from 1 species